UAGUCCACGCCCUAAACGAUGCUAACUCGAUAUUUGGAUCUUGAAUCUGAGUGUCUAAGCGAAAGCGAUAAGUUAGCCACCUGGGGAGUACGUUCGCAAGAAUGAAACUCAAAGGAAUUGACGGGGGCCCGCACAAGCGGUGGAGCAUGUGGUUUAAUUCGAUGAUACGCGAGGAACCUUACCAGGGCUUAAAUGCAGAGCGACCGUUCUGGAAACAGAACUUUCUUCGGACGGUUUGCAAGGUGCUGCAUGGUUGUCGUCAGCUCGUGCCGUGAGGUGUCGGGUUAAGUCCCAUAACGAGCGCAACCCCUAUUCUUAGUUGCCAGCGAGUAGUGUCGGGGACUCUAAGAAAACUGCCAGUGUAAGCUGUGAGGAAGGUGGAGAUGACGUCAAAUCAUCACGGCCCUUACGUCCUGGGCUACACACGUGCUACAAUGGUCGGUACAGAGGGCAGCUACCUAGUGAUAGGAUGCAAAUCUCUAAAGCCGGCCCUAGUUCGAAUUG
rnacentral:rRNA from 1 species